CUGCCUGCAGCAAUGUGAAUAGAAUCGGUAAUUUCACGCUAUUAUCUUUUUCUCUAUUUUAAAGAUAAAUGGUAGUGGAGAUCAAGUUGAUUUUAAAAGCUCAUUGUAUAAAAUGAUUACAUUAAGCCAUGCUGUAUUACAGAAAUGAUCUGCGUGUAUUGAAUUAAAUCAUGUUUUUUCUAGUGAUCUCAGCAGUAGCAGAAUGGAGAUGUUUUAAUCAUUGUAUUAUCAGUUUGUGAGAUACUUUUUCAGGUUUGGAUUCCCAUGCCACGUGUUUCCUAAGGGUUUUUCUCCUAAGUAAUUCCCAUUGCACUGAGUGGAGUUACUGCCUCCUCCAUCUGAACCUGAAAUCCUCCUGAUUAAACUCUGACAUAUUGAACAUCCAGCUGUUUUAUUAUUGGGUUUUUAACGACCAUUUGAAAGGGAUGCUCUGAGUAACCUGCAGAGAGACUUUUUCAAAUGAAGCUCUCAGCUUCUGAUAAACCCAGCAACUCGUUGUCCAGCUUCCUGUUCCUGAUAUGCAGAACACAUGUCAGAACAACUGGCCUAAUGAGAGAUGAAAAAUGGACAUGGCCAGGUCUGGUUCUGGAAACUGCAACACUUAGUGAGGCAUCAAAUAACAUCUACAGGAAUGUCCAGCUGAAGAGCAAAAGUUCCUUGAUGAGUCAAGACUGCGGGAUGCCUCACUGUUCAAAUGCCUUUUGUUGCUCCCUCAGGGUACCAUUGGCAUUACACACUCCCAGGGCAAACAGUAUUUGGAAACAGCAAAAGUUUUCUGAAUUCAGCACUGUUGCUUAAGAGUUGCUGUGGGCUGAACGAGGUUGCUGCUGUACUCUCAUCAUUAAUCAUUGAGUGAAAUUUUGCUUCUGCUGUGUCUUCCAUACUGUUUUCAAAUUCUUGUUUUUAUUUCCCAAGCACUGCUUUCAUCUUGCCUUGAAUCGUUCACUAUUUUUUCAGUUAAUCCACUCUAGUGGAGUGGCAAACAAGGCUGUCCCCAAAGACAUGCCUGCUGCUGAUUGCAAGCAUUUUUUUUAGUAUUGUAAUUGCACCAGAUGACAUUGUGAAAUGAAUCUCAUCCUGUAAUACAGACUGUGAGCGAUAUGGAAAGCAAUCAUAAGAAAGUCUCUAUUGUAUACAGGUCUAACCUAUGUUAAAUUAAUUGAAAUCAGUUUCUGUGGGAUCAAACCUGAAAUUAUCACCUUCAACAAAACCUGGCAUGCUAUUUGUAUAGUUACUGUUCAUUAGAAUAUAACUUGUGAAUCAACACAAAAAAAGAAAUGUGUCACGCACCACUUAUUUUAGAAGAUCCCAUGGUUCUCAUUUGCCCUUGCUCUUGUUCUGUCCCUUGUUGUCACAUUUAAAAGAUUCUAGAAUUCCAGCUAUAGGAGAAGCAAAGGCCUCUACUACUGGUACAAGUGUCCUAGAAGUCAG
rnacentral:lncRNA from 1 species